rnacentral:SRP_RNA from 1 species
AGCCGGGGAUUUAGCGGUUCCCUGUACCUGCAAUCCGCUACAGCAGGGGUGAUGUUCUGCCCCGGACUUUAUGGACAGUAUGCAGCCCUUUGCAAGCAGCAUAGACGCUUGGGUCUUGCGCAACAGGAAUCUGUGAAUCGAGUCAGGUCAGGAAUGGAGCAGCUCUAAGCAGAACCUCUUGUGUGCCGCGAGGUCGCCUGAGCCGAGCCGGCUACAGAGGUA